GCCUUCUACCCAUUCUAACUAGCAUGAGCCCCUCCUUCCCGAAAGCAACGUCAUUGUGACUUCUGAGAGGAUCCACAGAAUAAUUUUGCCUAUCAUCCAAUGCAGAUCACUGCAGAGCCCCCUGUGACAUGCACCUGUUAACUGGCACGAAGGCUGCUCCUUGAUGUUUACAGUGAGGAUGGUGAGUGGUUCUCAGACAACAAGGAUUCUUCGUGCUGCCCUUUGGAACGUGCUCUGAAAAUAAAUCACUCAGAAGUCCAAGGGGUGAGAACUGCAAGGGAUGUAAGUGCUGUAGCUACCUCCAUCCAGAUCUGAAAUUAUUUUAUUGCUUUCACACCAUUCACCAUGUUGCACUUAAUCUUUU
rnacentral:lncRNA from 1 species